rnacentral:lncRNA from 1 species
UUGACAGAGAUUAUUAGAGACUCAAGAUCAUGUAUGGAGAACGAUCUCAAAAUGGAGCACCUUACACAAAGAGAAAAAUAUAUUUUUAUCAAAUUCAAUUUUGUUAUUAGCUAAAGAUCUUGGGCAUGAUGUUAAAAGCUAUACCCACAGGAAAUCUUGGCAUAUCUGGACUUUAAAUUUUAUUUGUUGGUCAUAGUUAAGAGUUAUA